rnacentral:rRNA from 1 species
UACGUAGGGUGCAAGCGUUAUCCGGAUUCACUGGGUUUAAAGGGUGCGUAGGCGGUCAGGUAAGUCAGUGGUGAAAUCUCCGGGCUUAACCCGGAAACUGCCGUUGAUACUAUCUGUCUUGAAUAUCGUGGAGGUAAGCGGAAUAUGUCAUGUAGCGGUGAAAUGCUUAGAUAUGACAUAGAACACCCAUUGCGAAGGCAGCUUACUACACGAUCAUUGACGCUGAGGCACGAAAGCGUGGGGAGCAAACAGG